GCUCGGAUGGUGGAAUCGGUAGACACGCAAGACUUAAAAUCUUGUGACCAUCGCGGUUGUGCGGGUUCAAGUCCCGCUCCGAGUA
rnacentral:tRNA from 1 species